AGAAGAGUAAGGUACCCCAUACUUUUAUCUUUAUCAGUGGGCCAAAGUCCCUUUAAGAGAGAAAUGAAAGUAAAUCUAGCUGAUUGGUUACCUUACAAACAUCACAGGUGGAAUUAGCAGUGAGUGUACAGAAGCUUUAGACUUUAAGCUCACAGUUGUCUAAGAAGAGAACACUUCCAUGGAUCCACUUGUGAUUCUGGUGCUCUGUCUCUCCUGUUGGCUUCUCCUUUCUCUCUGGAAACAGAACAUUGGGAAGGGGAAGCUCCCGUCUGGCCCUCGUCCUCUCCCUUUUAUUGGAAAUAUCCUACAGGUAGAUGUGAAGAACAUCGGCAAAUCCUUAUGCAAUGUAAGUAUGCUUUAUGCUCCUCCAGCAGUUUGCAAAGGGUAUGUAUAUUAACCUCUGCUUUUAAAUAAAAUAUCUUUAUGAAAAUAUAUUAAAUUAUAGUAUAUUAAAAUAAAAACAUCAAGAUAUAUCUAUAAAGCAAAUACUCCUUGCGGAGUAUUGUCAAGAAUAGUGGAAUAAGGGGUGCCUGGCUGGGUCAGUCAGUAGAGCGUGCAACUCUUGAUCUCAGGGUCAUGAGUUUGAGCCCCACAAUGGGUGUAGAGAUCACUUUUAAAAAAUAGUGUAAUAAAAUAAUGUUUUCUAUGAAUAGAGAAAUAUUUAGGUCAUUCUUUGGUAUCAUCAAAAUAAUCAAAUGGCAAAAGUGAGGAAUGUUGCUGCCCUUCUUUGUUUCAGAGACAUUUGGUAUGACUUCUGGCUGGAGGUAAACGGUAAGGGAGGUAGUUUGUGAUUGGAGAUUUCAUUCGAGAAGUCAUCUACUACAUAAACUGUGUGUUUUAUUCAGAAUAGUCAUGAAAAUUGAACUCUGAAGAAGCAAAUUGUGCCUGAUGUCAAGGAAGUAGUUUUGAAUAGUAGUUCAUUUGCAUGAGUGAAUGAAAGAAAAAAAUCCUUGGGGCCAGCUGGAUGGUAACAGAAUCCCUUUGGAUUCUGUACAGAACUGCUGUCUGUACCCCCAAGAAUGCUGCAAGAAAGAAGCAAUUCUCCUUCUAUGAGAUGCUGGUCUCUGUGAUGCUUGCUCUCUUUUUAUGUUAGUAAUAGCAGCAGAUCUCAAAGUGGAGUGGGCCUUAGCAUCAUCUGUGGUGAUUUUUUAAAAAAAAUACAUAAUUCUAGUGUACAUCGUAAGGCUACAGAGAUAGAAUCUCCAGGGGAUGAGCUUUACAGAUGAUCCUGAAACCAUCAGCUGGGUAUUGGUCCCCAGGUAGGCACUGGGGACUGGUAAAUUGCUCAGGCAUCAGAGGUAUGCCAAGCAGGGUUGAAACUGGGUGUUCUGUUAUUAGACACUGGAAAUAUAUAGGAAAUUCUUUGAACUUCAGUCUCUCUAUACAACAGGGUAAAUAAACCUCGCUCAAGGUGUUGCUGUGAUGGCUAGUUGUAAUAAUCUGAGUAAUAAUAGUCUGGGCCAUUGCCUGUCACAUCAGUGGCCCUCUCUAUGUGUCGGCUGUAACAAUCUUAUUUAUACAUAACAUCCAGAAAUAGGUGAAGCUACGUUCGGCAGAAUAAAAACAUCAACAAUAUGAUGAUGAUAUCAGGUUAAUCAUGCACACACACACAAAUGCACAAAAUACAGCCAAAUUGUGACUUCUUUGGGUAAUAAUAUAUACAUUUUCUUUGCGCUUCUCAGCUCUCAAAAACCUAUGGCCCAGUUUUCACUCUGUAUUUUGGCAUGAAGCCUGCUGUUGUGCUGCAUGGAUAUAAGGCAGUGAAGGAAGCCCUGAUUGAUCUAGGAGAAGAGUUUUCUGCAAGAGGAAGUUUCCCAUUAGCUGAAAGAAUUAGUAAAGGACAUGGAAUCCUUUUCACCAAUGGAAAGAGAUGGAAGGAGAUGCGGCGCUUCUGCCUCAUGACCCUGCGGAAUUUGGGGAUGGGGAAGAGUGACCUUGAGAGCCGAGUUCAAGAGGAAGCCUACUACCUCAUGGAAGAGUUGAGAAAAACCAAUGCCUUACCCUGUGACCCCACUUUUGUCCUGGGCUGUGCUACCUGUAAUAUGGUCUGCUCCGUUAUUUUCCAAAAUCAUUUUGAUUAUACAGAUCAGACUUUACUUGGCUUCCUGGAAAAAUUUAAUGAAAACACCAAGAUUUUGAGCUCCUCAUGGGUCCAGGUCUACAAUAGUUUCCCUGAUCUCAUUGAUUACCUCCCAGGAAGUCAUCGCAAAAUAUUUAAAAAUUUUACUUGUGUACACAAUUAUAUUUUAGAGAAAAUCAAAGAACACCAAGAAUCCUUGGACAUUAACAAUCCUCGGGAUUUCAUUGAUUACUUCUUGAUCAAAAUAAAACAGGAAAACCACAGUCAGCAGUUGGAGUUCACUAUUGAAAACUUGAUAGCCACUGCAAGUGAUUUGUUUGGAGCUGGGACAGAGACCACAAGCACCACCCUAAGAUAUGCUCUCCUGCUCCUGCUGAAGCACCCGGAAGUCACAGCUAAAAUCCAGGAAGAGAUUGGCCAUGUAAUUGGCAGACACCGGAGCCCCUGCAUGCAGGACAGGAGCCGCAUGCCCUACAUGAAUGCAGUGUUGCAUGAGAUCCAGAGAUACAUUGACCUUAUCCCAGUCAACCUGCCACAUGCAGUGACCCGUGACAUUAAAUUCAGAAACUAUGUCAUCCCCAAGGGCACAAAUGUACUAAUAUCACUGACUUCUGUGCUACGUGAUGACAAAGAAUUUCCCAACCCAGAGACAUUUGACCCUGCCCAUUUCCUGGAUGAUAGUGGCAACUUUAAGAAGAGUGACUACUUCAUGGUUUUCUCAGCAGGAAAACGGACUUGUGUGGGAGAAAGCCUGGCCCGUAUGGAGCUGUUUUUAUUCCUGACCUCCAUUUUACAGAAUUUUACCCUGAAACCUGUGGUCGACAUAAAGGACCUUGACACCACCCCAGUUGCCAGUAUUCUAAGGCUUUAAGUUUUCCUCUAAGUGUCCUGUGUUGGAUGUAUCCCCAUAAAUUCUGCCUCCAGAACCACCCAUCCCCCACAAUGCAGCUCUAUUCCCAACCUCAUCAGUCAUCACACCCAUGACAGUUGCUCAGUUACAAUCAAGAUCACCUCUCUGAAAGUUCCACACACUUGAUCACUGCACUUACCGUUCCCUGGACCUACUUUAUGUCUGUUCAUCUAAGCUAUAGUUUCUUCAAAACCUACCUCAUCUGUGAAGAUUUCCUAGUGCCACUCCAAAGAGAGAUGAAUCCUGGGUGACACUAGAUGCCAUGUGUUGAAGAUAUCAAGGCUCCUGUCAACCUGGUGCCUGAAAAGGCUAUUGUGCCAACCCCUUCACUUCACUACUGUCAUGAACCCAGUGACCCACCAGAGGACUGGACAGUUUAAGGCCAGCUCCAGAAACAAAUGGAAGACAGUUCAAGUACUUAAUAUAAAAACCUUUUUAAAUUUCUUCUUCCUUCCUUCCUUCCUUUCUUCUUUCUUUCUUUCUUUCUUUCUUUCUU